UACAGAGGUCCCGAGCGUUGUUCGGAUUCAUUGGGCGUAAAGGGUGCGUAGGCGGCUUCCUAAGUUUGAUGUGAAAUCCUGGGGCCCAACCCUGGAACUGCAUUGAAUACUGGGAGGCUAGAGUACUGGAGAGGAAACUGGAAUUUAACGGUGUAGCAGUGAAAUGCGUAGAGAUCGUAAGGAAGACCAGUGGCGAAGCGAGUUUCUGGACAGU
rnacentral:rRNA from 1 species